GACGAACGCUGGCGGCGUGCUUAACACAUGCAAGUCGAACGAAGUGGCGAACGGGUGAGUAACGCGUAAUCAACCUGCCCUUCAAAGGGGGACAACAGUUGGAAACGACUGCUAAUACCCCAUACUGAAUGAGGGGAUUGCGUCUGAAUAGCUAUUUGGAGGGGUAAAGGCCCACCAAGGCGAUGAUCAGUAGCCGGUCUGAGAGGAUGAAAGGCCACAGCGUGACUGCGAAACGGCCCAGAUGCCUACGGUAGGCAGCAGUUGGGAAUCUUCCGCAAUGGACGAAAGUCUGACGGAGCAACGCCGCGUGAGUGAUUACGGCCUUCGGGUUUUAAAGCUCUGUUAAUCGGGACGCGGUACCGGAAUAGAAAGCCACGGCUAACUACGUGCCAGCAGCCGCGGUAAUAC
rnacentral:rRNA from 1 species